rnacentral:rRNA from 1 species
GAUGAACGCUGGCGGCGUGCCUAAUACAUGCAAGUCGAGCGAACAGACGAGGAGCUUGCUCCUCUGACGUUAGCGGCGGACGGGUGAGUAACACGUGGAUAACCUACCUAUAAGACUGGGAUAACUUCGGGAAACCGGAGCUAAUACCGGAUAAUAUAUUGAACUGCAUGGUUCAAUAGUGAAAGACGGUUUUGCUGUCACUUAUAGAUGGAUCCGCGCCGCAUUAGCUAGUUGGUAAGGUAUCGGCUUACCAAGGCAACGAUGCGUAGCCGACCUGAGAGGGUGAUCGACAACAGUGGAGCUGAGACACGGUCCAAAAUCCGACGGGAGGCAGCAGUAGGGCAUCUACCGCAAGGGGCGAAAGCCUGACGGAGCAACGCCGCGUGAGUGAUGAAGGUCUACGGAUCGUAAAACUCUGUUAUUAGAGAAGAACAAAUGUGUAAGUCACUAUGCACGUAUUGACGGUACCUAAUCAGAAAGCCCCGGCUACCUACGU